AUUGAACGCUGGCGGCAUGCUUUACACAUGCAAGUCGAACGGUAACAGGUCUUCGGACGCUGACGAGUGGCGAACGGGUGAGUAACACAUCGGAACGUGCCUAGUAGUGGGGGAUAACUACUCGAAAGAGUAGCUAAUACCGCAUGAGAUCUAAGGACGAAAGCAGGGGACCUUCGGGCCUUGCGCCACUAGAGCGGCUGAUGGCAGAUUAGGUAGUUGGUGGGAUAAAAGCUUACCAAGCCGACGAUCUGUAGCUGGUCUGAGAGGACGACCAGCCACACUGGGACUGAGACACGGCCCAGACUCCUACGGGAGGCAGCAGUGGGGAAUUUUGGACAAUGGGCGAAAGCCUGAUCCAGCAAUGCCGCGUGCAGGAUGAAGGCCCUCGGGUUGUAAACUGCUUUUGUACGGAACGAAAAGACUCUCUCUAAUAAAGAGGGUCCAUGACGGUACCGUAAGAAUAAGCACCGGCUAACUACGUGCCAGCCGCCGCAGUAAGAC
rnacentral:rRNA from 1 species